AACAAUACCUCGCUGAUACGGGGGUGGAUCCGAAGCCUCUAGAAGGUUAACAUAGGCUCUCCACCUCCUACUCCUACUAGAUACGUCCUCGUCGUACAGAACGGUAACAUGUCUCUCAAUUAUCCAUGCUUGAGUUUACGGGGAAACCCAACCCCUUGGGCGGAUGCAUGGCUAAAUUGAAAGGG
rnacentral:ribozyme from 1 species